rnacentral:rRNA from 1 species
UACGUAGGGGGCAAGCGUUGUCCGGAUUUAUUGGGCGUAAAGAGCGUGUAGGCGGCCAGGUAGGUCUGCUGUGAAAACUCGAGGCUCAACCUCGAGAUGUCGGCGGAAACCAUCUGGCUAGAGUCCGGAAGAGGAGAAUGGAAUCCCGGUGUAAGCGGUGAAAUGCGCAGAUAUCAGGAGGAACACCAAUGGCGAAGGCAGCUCGCUGGGACGGUACUGACGCUGAGACGCGAAAGCGUGGGGAGCAAACAGG